UUGGAGGGCAAGUCUGGUGCCAGCAGCCGCGGUAAUUCCAGCUCCAAUAGCGUAUAUUAAAGUUGUUGCAGUUAAAAAGCUCGUAGUUGAACUUCGGGGUUCACCCAUUGGUCAGGCUUAAUUGUCUGUACUGGUGAGAUGAGUCUCUACCUUCUGGGGAACUUUCAUGCCAUUUAUUUGGUGUGGUUGGAAAUCAGGACUGUUACUUUGAAAAAAUUAGAGUGUUUAAAGCAGGCUAACGUCUGAAUACAUUAGCAUGGAAUAAUGAAAUAGGACGGAUUGAUUCUAUUUCGUUGGUUUCUAGGGUCACCGUAAUGAUUAAUAGGGAUAGUUGGGGGCAUUAGUAUUCAAUUGUCAGAGGUGAAAUUCUUGGAUUUAUUGAAGACUAACUACUGCGAAAGCAUUUGCCAAGGAUGUUUUCAUUAAUCAAGAACGAAAGUUAGGGGAUCGAAGACGAUCAGAUACCGUCGUAGUCUUAACCAUAAACUAUGCCGACUAGGGAUCGGACGAAGUUAAUUUUAUAAUGACGCGUUCGGCACCUUACGGGAAACCAAAG
rnacentral:rRNA from 1 species